CCAUUCAAUUGUCACAAACCUUCAAUUUUGGUGUAAUAAACCAAUAAUUAUCUGCUCAUAAUCACCUGUGAUAUCAUCAGACACCAUUGAUGGCAUAAUACAUUAUGAUAUCAAUUGUGCUGUUGUAAAAAUCUACUAU
rnacentral:pre_miRNA from 1 species